AUACGCCACUCUGCCCGUUGAACACUCGAGAUAGCUUUUAUCGGUCGAGUGUGUACGAUCCAACAGUUGUAAGGACAAUCGGUUAGAGGAAAUCUUUCGGCAGUCUCGGUGCAGCCUCUUGUUGAUUCGAUAAACUCAAGCAUGGCGUGUAACAGUUUUAGUCAAUCUAAUAAAAAUAUCAAAUCUUGUGAAAUAUUAAGCGAUGCACUAAGUGAAAUCAUCAAGCACAGUACAAAUGAAAAAUUUCGAAAUCAUUGUUUCGAAAUGCUGAAGACUGAUAAUUCAUUUGAUACACGAGCGGUUAUUGUUGACAAUUUAUUAUCGAUUAUACCUCAUGAUAAUUGUUCCACUCAAAAGAAACGUAAAAAAUAAAACUAUGAAAAAUGCAUUUGCCAUA